GCUCUGCGCGCACCGGCGGACGGCUCAGUAACACGUCGGUAACCUACCCUCGGGAGGGGGAUAACCCCGGGAAACUGGGGCUAAUCCCCCAUAGGCCUGAGGUACUGGAAGGUCCUCAGGCCGAAAGGGGCAUCUGCCCGCCCGAGGAUGGGCCGGCGGCCGAUUAGGUAGUUGGUGGGGUAACGGCCCACCAAGCCGAAGAUCGGUACGGGCCAUGAGAGUGGGAGCCCGGAGAUGGACACUGAGACACGGGUCCAGGCCCUACGGGGCGCAGCAGGCGCGAAACCUCCGCAAUGCGGGCAACCGCGACGGGGGGACCCCCAGUGCCGUGGCAUAGCCACGGCUUUUCCGGAGUGUAAAAAGCUCCGGGAAUAAGGGCUGGGCAAGGCCGGUGGCAGCCGCCGCGGUAAUACCGGCGGCCCGAGUGGUGGCCGCUAUUAUUGGGCCUAAAGCGUCCGUAGCCGGGCCCGUAAGUCCCUGGCGAAAUCCCACGGCUCAACCGUGGGGCUUGCUGGGGAUACUGCGGGCCUUGGGACCGGGAGAGGCCGGGGGUACCCCUGGGGUAGGGGUGAAAUCCUAUAAUCCCAGGGGGACCGCCAGUGGCGAAGGCGCCCGGCUGGAACGGGUCCGACGGUGA
rnacentral:rRNA from 1 species